AUAAUCACAAAGAAAGACUCGUUGGGCAAUGUAUUUAAUAUGAAAUCCAAAAGUCUGUCCUAUAUAGGAAUCAACUAAAUCAUGCAUCAGAAAUUCAAAGCGUCUUAAACCUUAUUUCAUGUAGAAUAGCAUAUCGAUGAUCAGAAGCUGCAAGCCUCCUUUGCAACUACCUGAGAAUUCAAGCUUGCACUUCAAAGUUUAGACAACAAUUACUAUGCAAGUGCAACAAAUUGCACAUAGUAUUUGAGUUAGAACAAAGUAGACGCAACACACUAAACAAUUAUAUUUUAUUGGUUCAGUCAUAGCUCAAACAACAAAGUGUAUUUCAUGCUCCUGUGUAGUUAUGCCUUGUCACUGUUCCAAAUUCUGGACAACUUCCUUAAGUUCAGAACAUAAACCGUUUCAGUGAAUGGCUAAACUUUCCUUGUAUUCCAUAAGAAAGUAGGCAACCACAUUCAUCACUAUUUGUUCCUGUGCUCCCUUAAUGUAAAGUGAGUUCCACAAAAUUUGAGAUUUACUCCAGGGGUUAUUAAAACUGCUAGGUUCCAAAAAAAUCUCAACUCAAAAACUCAUAAGCAAAUUGACUAAUUGAGCACACCCUAGAGGGAUUUUAAAACUUAAUUAUCACCCCAAAUGUGAAUUUAAAUUAAUUAGGCAUCAAUAUCUAAAAAAGUGCAACAUCAACGAAGAUAACACAAAAGAUAUUAAUCUAUUAGACUUAGAAGACAUUAACAUAUAGCAAUAGAAACAAUCCAUAGGCUUUCUUGACAAUAACACACGAGAAAGCAACAUUAGCUGUUCAAUGAUAAUCCGCAAGACAUAAAAAGAACAAUAAAGAUAACAGUUGAUUAAAACCCUAAGCGAAAAAUUAAAAAUUCUUGGUUAUAUAUAUAAAAUGGAAAAUCUCCUCAUACCACCUCCUUCACCUGCUUAGGCAUGGAAACAGCCUCAGGGAUCUUAACAUAACCCAUCUUCUUAGGGCUAACAUCAUCCGCUUCAUCUACAUCCUCGCCAUCAAAUUCCUCGUAGCGGUAAUCGUAGCGAGUAGAGAAAAGGGAC
rnacentral:lncRNA from 1 species